rnacentral:rRNA from 1 species
UACGGGGGGGGCAAGCGUUGUUCGGAAUUACUGGGCGUAAAGGGCUCGUAGGCGGCCAACUAAGUCGGACGUGAAAUCCCUCAGCUUAACUGGGGAACUGCGUCCGAUACUGGAUGGCUAGAGGUUGGGAGAGGGAUGCGGAAUUCCAGGUGUAGCGGUGAAAUGCGUAGAUAUCUGGAGGAACACCGGUGGCGAAGGCGGCAUCCUGGACCAAUUCUGACGCUGAGGAGCGAAAGCCAGGGGAGCAAACGGG